UCCCUGGUGGCUCAGAUGGUAAAGCAUCCGAAUAUAAUGCGGGAGACCCAGGUUCAAUCCCUGUUUCGGGAA
rnacentral:tRNA from 1 species